rnacentral:rRNA from 1 species
GAGAACGCUGGCGGCGUGGAUUAGGCAUGCAAGUCGAACGGUAGGAUACCUUCGGGGUAUCUGAGAGUGGCGAACGGGUGAGUAACACGUAGGUGAUCUACCCUCAAGAUUGGGACAACCCAGGGAAACUUGGGCUAAUACCGGAUGAAAGCAGCAGCGAUGUUGUUUGAAAGGUGGCGUAAGCUGCCGUUUGGGGAUGAGCCUGCGCUCUAUUAGUUAGUUGGCGGGGUAAAGGCCCACCAAGGCGAUGAUAGAUAGGCGGCCUUAACGGGUGGUCGCCCACACUGGGAUUGAGAUACGGCCCAGACUCCUACGGGAGGCAGCAGUCGAGAAUAGUCUACAAUGGCCGAAAGGCUGAUAGUGCGACGCCGCGUGAACGAAGAAGCCCUUCGGGGUGUAAAGUUCUUUUAUAUGUGAGCAGUGCUUUCUAUGUGAACAGCAUAGUGAGAGAGAUAUUAGCAUAUGAAUAAGCAACGGCUAACUCCGUG